UGUAUUCAAAUUUAUAUUAUUAUUUAUUAUAUAAUUAUAUGACAAUCUUGUACCGUGGUGAGGUGUCUAAAACUUAUUUUCUGCUAUUUUUCAUUAACUGUCAGAACAUAAUACAAUCUACAAUCUACAAUUUUCCAAGCAAAAGUCAGUCGGUACAUUUAUAUUGAAUUUGUUUAUGUCGUACAACACAUAGUUAAACCGUUUUGUCAGUUUUGAAAACCAAUGGAUCUUUCAUCGUUCAGCUUCAGAAUUUCAGCUACAAGUCUAUUGAAAUGGCCAGACCAAAGCGAGUGUAUAUUAUGACAAGUUUACUACCAUACACCAGGACUGGGAAUACAUUAGAUAUCUAUAAGGCCGUGCCCGGGCGUAUAAGGAUGUUUCUGGUUUGUUAUCGAGUCUCGGGCAAGAUGUCAAGAAGCUUGGAGAGUCCACGCCCUUUUUGGUGACGAAAAUACACACAGCGUCUAUAAUUUAAAUAUCCGUUCUGCUUUGCUCAUUAUAAUAUUUAAUUGUUUUGAGUGACUGUGCGUUUAAUAUAUGCAACCAACUGCCAGCCGCCAGAGGGAAAUGUUUAUCUACUGGAAAACCAAUUGCAGUUUUGACUGCACUACUGUAGAUGUAUUUAUAAUAAUCAUUAUUUUAAAGGCUAUACAUCAAUUAUAUACUUGUGUCAAGCGUUUCAUACAAAAUAAAUACAAAUUUUGCUUUGUAUUUUUUUUCGAUAGGAAAUAGAUACUUAUUUGUUACUAGAAUUUUGUAACAAUAUGCCUAAUUAUUGUUACUUGUGUAUACGCCAGGUUUCGAAAAGUUUAAACGAUAAUUGUGAACAAGUGGAAUUCCAGCGGUUUUAACGCAGUAAAUAGUUCUUACAAAAUAUGUUCUGUAAAAUAUGUUUCUGAGGAAAAUUCAUAAUAAUUAAUAUUAAAGAGUUAAACUUCAAUAAUAAAAUUAUCCCAACACCGUAAAUAAUAGAUUAUAAAUAUAUAAUUACAUUGAAUACGUCAAUGAUGUAUGAUGCAAAAACAUAAUAGUCACUUUAUAUUUACUUAUAAAAAUGUUAACAAUUUAUCAAUAAUAUGUAAACACGUUUUAUAAAUAUUUUAGUUGGCCGUUAAGUAUUAAGUUGGUAUUAUUUUCAAAGACUAACAUGUUUAAGGUCAUUUAUUUUUUAACAAUUUUUCUAUUUUCAUUUCUGACCUUGUCAAGGACGAUGCAUAAUUAGACUUGUAGUGCAGUUUGUUAUUGAUUUAAGAUUUUCCUUAACAAUACAUAUUACAGUACGAUUUAAUAUAACCUCGUACAAUAUAUUUUAAUAAUAUUAAUAGAAGGUAAUUUUCUAUACCUAUACAAAAUGUACAAAACAAUAUUAUAAUUUUAUAUUUUUACUUAAUGAAAACAAUGAAUUGUCUACGAGGGACGUAUAUUUAGGAGUAUAAAAGUUGACCUCCCCCUCCCCUCCAAAAUGUUUUAAAACAAUAUUAUUUUUCAAGAUGCAGCUUUAUGUAAAAUAUAAUUUUGAAUUUGUUUUAAAUAAUAUUUUGUAUAAACUAUUCGACUAUAUUGACUAUGUUGAGCAUAACAUAAUAAUCGUGUAGCGUUUAUACUGCAGGUAUAUGGUCAUUAUACUUUGUAUAAAUUAAUUCUGGUUUACAUAAAAUUUAAUUUUUACGAAUUCUGUACUAAAUAUUUGCAAAAAAAUCCAUUUGAUGGGAAACGGAGGCAGAGGCCUAAGGAAAUGUAUGUAUUUUAUGCUUAGGAGAGAUUUGGCAACAAAAAGUUGAACUGUUUGUGACGCAAACUUAAAAAAAAUUAAUCAUGUACAUAUAUAGUCCAACAAAUUCGGGGAAUUCUUCAACAAUGUGUAGUUAAAUGAGCUCCAGACUUUUUAUUUGGUAAAAAUUCUCAAAUAUUAACAUACAACAAUGAUAUUAUAUUAUCAUGUAGAAAUAUUAUGAUGUCAUGCGGAAAUAUUUUAUUUGAUGUACGUUUAACCCUAUGGAAAUCAAUAAUCUAAAUUAAAUAAACAAGAUAAAAUGUGUUAACCACUUGAAUAUAACAUGUAAUCAGUAAAAAAUGGGUCGUCGGAAGUCACAACAACAGUGAAUAUACGCGUCAUUCAAAUAAACAUCAGUCGUUAAAAUAAUUC